rnacentral:tRNA from 1 species
ACCUAAAUAGUUUAAGGAGAAAAUAUUAGUUUGUGGCGCUUGAGAUGUAAAUUGUUACUUUAGGUA